GUGAGGAAUAUUGGACAAUGGGCGAAAGCCUGAUCCAGCCAUGCCGCGUGUGUGAAGAAGGUCUUCGGAUUGUAAAGCACUUUAAGUUGGGAGGAAGGGCAGUAAGUUAAUACCUUGCUGUUUUGACGUUACCAACAGAAUAAGCACCGGCUAACUUCGUGCCAGCAGCCGCGGUAAUACGAAGGGUGCAAGCGUUAAUCGGAAUUACUGGGCGUAAAGCGCGCGUAGGUGGUUUUGUAAGUUGGAGGUGAAAUCCCCGGGCUCAACCUGGGAACUGCCUCCAAAACUGCAUGACUAGAGUACGGUAGAGGGUAGUGGAAUUUCCUGUGUAGCGGUGAAAUGCGUAGAUAUAGGAAGGAACACCAGUGGCGAAGGCGACUACCUGGACUGAUACUGACACUGAGGUGCGAAAGCGUGGGGAGCAAACAGGAUUAGAAACCCGGGUAGUCC
rnacentral:rRNA from 1 species